rnacentral:rRNA from 1 species
AGAACUGCAUCCAAAACUAUUUAGCUAGAGUGUGGGAGAGGAAGAUGGAAUUAGUUGUGUAGGGGUAAAAUCCGUAGAGAUAACUAGGAAUACCAAAAGCGAAGGCAAUCUUCUGGAACACUACUGACGCUGAGGCGCGAAAGCGUGGGGAGCAAACAGGAUUAGAUACCCUGGUAGUCCACGCAGUAAACGAUGAAUGUUAGUCGUCGGGUAGCUAGUCUAUUCGGUGAUGCAGCUAACGCAUUAAACAUUCCGCCUGGGGAGUACGGUCGCAAGAUUAAAACUCAAAGGAAUAGACGGGGACCCGCACAAGUGGUGGAGCAUGUGGUUUAAUUCGAAGAUACGCGAAGAACCUUACCUAGCCUUGACAUAUUUAAGAAUCCGACAGAGAUGUUGGAGUGCCUUCGGGAGCUUUCUUACAGGUGCUGCACGGCUGUCGUCAGCUCGUGUCGUGAGAUGUUGGGUUAAGUCCCGCAACGAGCGCAACCCUCGUCACUAGUUACUAACGGUUCGGCCGAGGACUCUAGUGAGACUGCCUUCGUAAGGAGGAGGAAGGUGAGGACGACGUCAAGUCAUCAUGGCCCUUACGGCUAGGGCAACACACGUGCUACAAUGGCCAGGACAGUGAGACGCAAUACCGCGAGGUGGAGCAAAUCUAUAAACCUGGUCUCAGUUCGGAUUGUUCUCUGCAACUCGAGAACAUGAAGCUGGAAUCACUAGUAAUCGUAGAUCAGCUAUGCUACGGUGAAUACGUUCCCGGGUCUUGUACUCACCGCCCGUCACACCAUGGGAGUUGAUUUCACCCGAAGCGGGGAAGCUAAACUGGCUACCCUCCACGGUGGAAUUAGCGACUGGGGUGAAGUCGUAACAAGGUAACC